rnacentral:rRNA from 1 species
UGGGGAAUAUUGGACAAUGGACGAAAGUCUGACGCAGCGACGCCGCGUGGGGGAUGAAGGUCUUCGGAUUGUAAACCCCUUUCGGGAGGGAAGAUGGAGUGGGUAACCACUUGGACGGUACCUCCAGAAGCAGCCACGGCUAACUUCGUGCCAGCAGCCGCGGUAAUACGAAGGUGGCAAGCGUUGUUCGGAUUCACUGGGCGUACAGGGAGCGUAGGCGGUUGGGUAAGCCCUCCGUGAAAUCUCCGGGCCUAACCCGGAAAGUGCAGAGGGGACUGCUCAGCUAGAGGAUGGGAGAGGAGCGCGGAAUUCCCGGUGUAGCGGUGAAAUGCGUAGAGAUCGGGAGGAAGGCCGGUGGCGAAGGCGGCGCUCUGGAACAUUUCUGACGCUGAGGCUCGAAAGCGUGGGGAGCAAACAGGAUUAGAUACCCCAGUAGUCCCUGAGCGGGCUGGCAAGGCGCAU